ACUGGCACACUUUUUUCUACAGCAUCUGAUCAUAGAUUCUAACCUUAUCAUUCUGCAUUGAAUCUUAGGGCUAGCAUUCCUGCCUAGUAGAAAGGCCUAGGAAACAUGGCCAGGGAGAGUAUUUUGAACAUCGAGAAAGAUUCCAAUAGCCCUGAGACCCCACCCCUUGAUGUUUGUAAUAGUCCUGGCCUUAUUUUGUAAAGGUAGCCGCCAUCCCUCAUAUAUCCUUUCCCGUGUAUUAUCCUAUUUGAGGAUAAGCAAGAAUAGGAAGUUUUCAGGUAUAUGGGGACAAAGUGGUUGAGUUUGUCAAGUUAUAACUACUUUAAAGGGGUACCCUUCUGGCCCCCUGGGCUACCUUCCAGUUACAAGUACCCUUUACAGUAAGUCAAAGUAUGUAGCAAACUGUGGGUAGGAGGCUACACUCGCAUUUAGAGGUGAGCUCAGACUGGUCUAGAAUGACCUCAGUUGGGACAAUGGGACUUUCACCCUCAGUCUAAUCAGACUCAUCCUAGCCUAGGCUCAUUCUCAUUACAGUGGCAAUAAAGAGGAAGACACAAGGACCCUUAAGGCACAGGCUUGAAAUUGGCAGUUUCCUUUCUACCACCUGCUAUUUUCCAAGCAAGCCACAAGGACAGCUCAGAUUCAAGGGGGUGGGCAAAUAAUCCAUUUCUUGAUUGGAAGAAUGGUGAAGUCACAUUGUAAAGGGUAUCGACAGGGGGAGAAGAAUUGGUUUUUUGUAAUCAAUAUGAACUAAAAUCCUUCAGUGAAAGGGUGAUGAGAAAUUCAGUGGUUUCAUAUGGCAUCAGGCUGAGCUAUUCACUAGACUUAGCACCACUGUAAAAGGAACAGCCAGGUAUAGUGUCCUUGAAUGUGUUGCAAUGGAAAGUAUAGAUAGCUUUUGUUGGCUAAGACUUUGUCAGUAAUCUAGUCAACCUGUAGGAACAGGGGAAAGGAACAAGUUAGACACAGAAGCAGUUAGCCAAACCUAAAUACAGGACAUUCUAUAAGACAUGACAAUUUCUCCAGUGUUUCAAUGAUACUAGGUGGGGAGGGGACCGUUAUAGAAGACUUAAGAAGCUUAAGUACUAGCAGACAUUUUAGAAAUCCUUUCAGAUUCUCAGUGUCACUUGUUUUUCAGAUGCAGUGGACACUGGCCAACAACAUGCUGACCUAAACGUCAUGCUGCUUAGCUGCAUGUCAGAGCUUUCAGCUCCUUUCAGGGCCUUCUGGGCUCAGAUAAAGUGCCACACUGCUUAGAUGGAUUUGUAUUUCCCUCUGGCUGACAGGCUAACUAGACCCUCAGAAGUUUACUCCAAGAAACUGACCAGCAAGUACUGGAAGAUGGGAGCCCACAGGUGACAUCUACCAUCUUUACUGGUCACUGGCCAGGCCUCACAAUCAGCUGUGAACUUUGUGAAGUAGUGGCUUGGUAGUAUAAGCUUAUGCAUAUUUCCCAGUCUUCCAUCCUAUAUUCCUUUUGUUGUUUCUCCAGGAUUGUAUCCCUCAAGUAAGCAUUAGCAAUGAAGUCUUGCUUCAGUUCUGUCUUCUAGUGAACUCAGGUUAAGCCAACAACUAAAUGCAAUCAAACUUGUUUGGAGCUUGAUUUGAGUAAGCCAGAUAUAGGACAUUUAAAGCAGGCUGUGAAAUUUGAUAGGACUAUUGGACAUUAAGGAGUGUUGAUUGUGCUAUGUGUGACAGUGAUUUUAAAGAGGGACCUUGUUAAUCAGUUUUCUGACUAAAAGGACAGGAUGCCUAGUGUUUAAAGAAUUCCAGCAAAGCAGAAUAAGAUAGAUACACCUAGGGGGAUAAAUGAAGAUGGAAAUACUGAGUUUAAUCUGAGUAACAGGUACAUUAUGAUUUUCUACUUAUGUAUAUUUGAGGACUUCUACAAGUUUAAUUCUUUAGAUUUCAUCCACCAUUUUUCUUGAAUAUAAUGAUUGUUUUGUAGAUGAUCCCUUGGAAGCUUUCAUAGCUGAAUUUUGAAGUUUAACAUAUUGAAUCUAGUUGUGGAGUUUCUCCAUACAUUUCAUGAAGCCUUUCAAAAUGUGGUUCUUAGUCAUUUCAGGAGUUUUACCUUCAUUAUUGUUCAUUGUAAACAUGUAGAUAGAAAAUGAGAUGGAAGAUGUAGACUAUUUUGUGAUUCAAUCUGAUCUUCCAAUUCACUAAUUUGUUCUUCAGCUAUAUCCACUUGUGUUGUAUCAGCUUAUACUUCAUUUUUGUUCUCAUUUGAAUGUUAGUGUCUUAAUCUUAGGUAACUAUUGUACUUGAUAGUCUCAGUCUGAGUGUCCUAAUAUUUAGGCUUUCAAUGUUUCCAUUUUGAAAUAGGUAUAUUCUUCCAGCAACUUAUUUUAGUCUGAGAAUAUCUAGUACCAGAGGAAUAUGAUUUAUCUAGUAAUGCAUUGUUAGUUCAAGAUCAAAAGGCACAGUUUUAGCUUGUUUCAACCCAAGUUUACAGAAAGAAAAACCCUAAGUUACUGUCGUUUCUACAAAGAAGCCUAUUAGGCCAGGGUCUCCAUUCUUGAGAGGAGCAGCACUGGUAGGAGGCAGGCUCCCCAGAUUGGAAUCCACCAGCCCCACAUGGGGCAGGAUGGAGGUAUAAAUGGCCAAAGUUCAACCUCUACUUGCCUUCAUCAACUCCUUACCUCACAGGGUUUUCAUGCUAACCUGAUUUUGUCCAGUGCAUUAGCACACAGGGUUACCAGUUUCAGCCAGACAAUGCCUAUCUCAACAAGCAAUUAUGCUAAAGAGGCAAAAAGCAGAGAUAAAUUCACCUUAAUUACCCUCACAGCACUAUCAGUUGCCCUUUGUUCCAGAUCACACCCAUUACACUCAGGGACCACAUAUACCAACUUGUCCAGACAGUUGGAGUUUUUGCCUGUUGCCCUAGUGUGAUGAACAAUGCUCUUUACUCUUAAGUGUCCUAGUUUGGGAAGUCAUGUAGUCCUUGUGGCAGCCAUGGAAAUGUACUAUUCCAAUCUCCCUCUGAAGAAUAUGCCUUGGAGUGCAGUUAGCCUCCAGCUGUAGUAUCCCUGGGAUCUGCCAGUGUUAGAACUAAGGAUGCAUUUUACCCAGGUAGAUUCCUGCCAACAACUGGGCAGGGCAGGGCAGGGCAGGGCACACCAGGCCCUGGCCAGUCCUGCCCAAUGGAGGACCAAGCAUUCUUUAUGCUAGGGAUCCUUGUUAAGGGAGCUGAGACUCUAGGACUGGACUGCAGUUUGGGUGUCUUCCUGAUAGACUUUGACUGACCGGCAUCUGAUCUAUAUCCAUUCCAUACACUAGAUCAAGCCCCUCUUAAGCAUGUCCAAAGCCUCUUAAUUCCUGGAUUGCAUGUUUGCUUUUCUUCAGGGUUGAUGGUUGAGGAAGGAGUCAGAACUGUUUUUAAUGCCAGCAGUCCCAGCCCCAGUGUCCGUUCAAUUGAUAAUUGUGGAAACUAGGUUUUGGCCUUUUGGCUUCCAGCUGGGCUUGGCCAAUGAAAAGCCCUGAUGAGAUUGAGGGCAUGUAAAAGCAGCCAGGGUAUUUUACCCUCUCCUUCCACUUCAGUAGAAUCUGUGGGAGUGGCUAUUUCAUUUCUAGUCUUCUGGAGUCAGCCCCUCCCAUCUCCCAGCUUUCUCUAAGUAUUCCUUACUGUGGCUUUAGCCCCCUCUGGGCAUUCUCUACAAGGCUACAGUAACGCUCUUUCCUUUGUCCUUUGAGGUCUAAAAGGAGAAGUGGCUUCUGUUAGUCUGGAUUUCUUCAGCAGUCCAUGUUUGGCUUUCAACUCUUAGGAUAUUUUUAUAGCUCAUUUCCCAUAUUAAAUUCUUUCCAUUGAGCUAUUUAGCUUGUGCUCUGGUUCUCUUAGUGGACCUGGACUGUUAUACUUGAUUUCUUUCAGGAGUAAGCCAUUAAAUUUCUCUCUCUUUUGGCUGGCAUGGGUUAAUGCUUAGGGCAUGAAGUAUUUAGAAGCAUCUUAAUACAUGACCCAUUAAUCAAGCAGCAAGUAGUAUAUCUAGAAGCAAACGGAGCAAGUUGAUCUGUCACUCUUAUUUAGUUGUACCAUACAACAGGAGUAUCCCUGGACAAAGGGCCACUUGGCACAAAGGCAUUAAAAGGGGUCAAAAUCAGCUUCCAGAAGCACAAGAUACUUUUAGAAAUCAGCUUUCUCCAGCAGUGUUUCAAAAAUGCUGAACAGUUUAAUUUCCAGUUUGAGGGACACUUAGUUAAGCUCUGAAUAUACUAGAUUAAUCCUCAAACCUCCCUGUAGAACUCUAGGCUCUAGUACAAGCUGCCAGCAGGUCUCCAUGGAAGCCAUGCUCCAGAAGGCUAAGGCAUAACUAACCAAUAUUUCUGAUUGUCCUUUCAGGAAACCAGAUGACAUAUGUUGUCAUAAGAAUGUCAUGAACUCUAAUCUUUAAGUCCCCUAGUUUUACCCAUUGCACUAACUUCACUACUCGCCAUGUAACUCAAUGCUACCCUAUGAGCCCUCUCCCCUUGUCUUCUACAAACUGCAAGUCACACAUAGUCAUACUACCUACAAAUAGAGCAUCCUCAGGGGAAGUGGGUCAGAAAUGUCCCACUGUUCUCAUAGGGAAGAAAGCACCAGACAAAAACAUGACUUUUCUCAAGUCAUAGCACCUUCUUCCAAGUCUGGCCCUGUGUACAGUUUCCUUACCCUAGACCUGCUUUUCUACCAGUCAUUCUCAGGAUAGUUCUUCCUUGAGGACUUCCUAGUCUAUCCAUGUUUGGGCAUCUGUGCCGACUCUGGUUUUUUAUUCCAGUAAGACUUCACAGUGGAGUUGUCUAAGAGACAAAGCCUACCUAUGAAACUAUCUUAACAGUUGUCAACCCAGCUUGUUUUUGCUUUGUAAUGUAUCAGAUCCUUGGUCACCCCAAGUCAAGCCACAAGUCUAGAGGGUUCAUGCUCACCUUGGUAUAUUUUUGUAUAAACUUAAGGAACACAAGUUGUUACAUGGAUAUAUUGUGUAGUUGUCAGGUCUGGGCUUUUGGUGUACUCAUCACCAAAUAGUGUACAUUCUACCCAUUAGGUAGUUUCUCAUCCUUUAC
rnacentral:lncRNA from 10 species